GGAGUCGAGUAUGAAUGGGUCUACGGAAACAAGCUGUCUCUUUUUGGUUAUACUGAAGUUUCUUUAAGGGUGCAAAGUCCCUUGAUUAGAAAAAAGACGAGAAGACCCUUAGAGUUUUUAUUAAAGAUAAGAAUUUAUUUAAGUUUUUGCUGGGGCGGCAAAGAGACAAAACAAUUAAACUCUCUUUUUAUUGUUUUUAGAAGACGAAAAUGUUAAGAAUCAUUAAACUACCUUAGGGAUAACAGCAUAAUUAAAUUUUAGUUUGUGACCUCGAUGUUGGACUAGGAAGGCUUUUGACCAGCAGUCAA
rnacentral:rRNA from 1 species